CAUGCUUGGUCUGUUCCAAGGUGAAAAUCAUGCACUUAUUACAUGACAAUGACUUAAAGAUGUAUUUCUAUCCCUGCACAUGUAGGGACAAUUUAUAUGGGCAUCUUCAUUCUCGCCAAGAGUUGGAGAACGGGAAAGAUAUGGGAACCUGUCCCAGCUGUUUUCUCAUUAUUAAAGUGAUUGAUGACAAAGAUCAGUAUAUGCGCAGAGAAACAGAUCCAGCACCUUUCACCAACAGAUAAUUCGUUAA
rnacentral:lncRNA from 10 species